rnacentral:rRNA from 1 species
GUAGGUGGCAAGCGUUGUCCGGAGUUAUUGGGCGUAAAGCGCGCGCAGGCGGUUCUUUAAGUCUGAUGUGAAAGCCCACGGCUCAACCGUGGAGGGUCAUUGGAAACUGGAGAACUUGAGUACAGAAGAGGAAAGCGGAAUUCCACGUGUAGCGGUGAAAUGCGUAGAGAUGUGGAGGAACACCAGUGGCGAAGGCGGCUUUCUGGUCUGUAACUGACGCUGAGGCGCGAAAGCGUGGGGAGCAAACAGGGAUUAGAUACCCUGGUAGUCCACGCCGUAAACGAUGAGUGCUAAGUGUUAGGGGGGUUUCCGCCCCCUUAGUGCUGCAGCUAACGCAUUAAGCACUCCGCCUGGGGAGUACGGCCGCAAGGCUG